rnacentral:rRNA from 1 species
GGGAGCUUGUGGCCAGGAGCGGGUGUAAUAGUGAGGGGGGAUGGAUUGUUCGGAUUUAGUGGGCGGAAAGCGGGCGCAGGCGGAUUAAUAAGCCGGAUGUGAGAUGUCGGGGCUCAACCCCGAAACUGCGUCUGGAACUGUUAAUCUAGAGUUAUGGAGGGGGGAGCGGAAUUUCGCAUGUAGGGGUAAAAUCCGUAGAGAUGCGAAGGAACACCAGAGCCGAAGGGGGCUCUCUGGCCAUCAACUGACGCUGAGGCGCGAAAGCGUGGGGAGCAAACAGGAUUAGAUACCCGAGUAGUC